AGAGUUUGAUCAUGGCUCAGGACGAACGCUGGCGGCGUGCCUAACACAUGCAAGUCGAACGGGCUCCGGGGCAACUCGGAGUCAGUGGCGGACGGGUGCGUAACACGUGAGGAACAUGCCUAUCGGCGGGGGAUAGCCGGUCCAACGACCGGGGUAAUACCGCGUACGACCUUUGGGUGGCAUCACCUGGGGGUGAAAGCAGCAAUGCACCGAUAGAGUGCCUCGCGGCCUAUCAGCUAGUUGGUGGGGUAAUGGCUCACCAAGGCGACGACGGGUAGCUGGUCUGAGAGGAUGACCAGCCACAUUGGGACUGAGACACGGCCCAGACUCCUACGGGAGGCAGCAGUGGGGAAUAUUGCGCAAUGGGCGAAAGCCUGACGCAGCGACGCCGCGUGUGGGAUGACGGUCUUCGGAUUGUAAACCACUGUCGGGAGGGACGAAGCUCUGACGGUACCUCCAAAGGAAGCACCGGCUAACUCUGUGCCAGCAGCCGCGGUAAUACAGAGGGUGCAAGCGUUGUCCGGAAUCACUGGGCGUAAAGGGCGCGUAGGCGGCCUGAUAAGUCGGGGGUGAAAUUCUGCGGCUUAACCGCAGGACGGCCUUCGAGACUGUCGGGCUUGAGCACGGUAGAGGCAGGUGGAAUUCCCGGUGUAGCGGUGGAAUGCGUAGAGAUCGGGAAGAACAUCGGUGGCGAAGGCGGCCUGCUGGGCCGUUGCUGACGCUGAGGCGCGACAGCGUGGGGAGCAAACAGGAUUAGAUACCCUAGUAGUCC
rnacentral:rRNA from 1 species